rnacentral:rRNA from 1 species
GAUGAACGCUGGCGGCGUGCUUAACACAUGCAAGUCGAACGGAAAGGCUCCUGCUUGCAGGGGUACUCGAGUGGCGAACGGGUGAGUAACACGUGGGUGGUCUGCCCUGCACUUCGGGAUAAGCCUGGGAAACUGGGUCUAAUACCGGAUAGGACGAAGGUUUGGAUGCCAUUGUGGAAAGUUUUUCGGUGUGGGAUGAGCUCGCGGCCUAUCAGCUUGUUGGUGGGGUAAUGGCCUACCAAGGCGUCGACGGGUAGCCGGCCUGAGAGGGUGUACGGCCACAUUGGGACUGAGAUACGGCCCAGACUCCUACGGGAGGCAGCAGUGGGGAAUAUUGCACAAUGGGCGCAAGCCUGAUGCAGCGACGCCGCGUGGGGGAUGACGGCCUUCGGGUUGUAAACUCCUUUCGCUAGGGACGAAGCGCAAGUGACGGUACCUGGAGAAGAAGCACCGGCUAACUACGUG